ensembl:lncRNA
AUGCAGAGACAGUCUACUAAGAAUGCUAAAGGGACUCCAGCAUCACCGCCCGCCCCCUUGCCGAUGAUGAGCAUACAUCCUACCACAAAGGGGAUGUGUAGGCUGGGGGGUGGGGGUGACACUCAUCAACAGUCUCACCAAGCUACAGAAAACGUGAAUACCACUCUACUGCUCCAACAAACAAGAUACUCUGCAGACAUUCUUCUCUUGCCACUGAAAAAUUAAUAGUGAAAUAAGGAGUGAAAAACUUUCAUCUCUUGGAGCUCCCAUGUCCUGGCAAAGAGGUGAAUGAUCCUCUCUAGACCAGUUUGGAGUUUUAAACGCAAAAUCUUUAAGAAAAGGGGGUUGUGACCCGAGAUAGGUGCUUUGGUAGAAAUCCUGAACAUCUGGAUGAAGGGGAAAUCCAGCCGUGGUACCACAGGAAGGAGGUACAAAGGAACUUCCGAACUUGAACAGAUGUGUGGCUAUGGAUAUCAGUGGGACACUGUCCCUGCUGGAACUAAGAGAUGCCAAGUAAGGGGGUAGUGAUGCUUAAAGUGUCCAAUCCUGUUUCCUCAGGGUGGUGCCCCAACAAGAAAAGUUGAGGAAAAUGCUGUGGAUGGUGGGCUUUAGGGUGUGAGGUGAGCUAUGUCUGAUUUUGCUUAGAAGACUACUUAAGAAACAGGGCAGAGUUUAGGUGGAAAUGUUUAACUCCUAAGUAAAGGUACGCCUAUAGAGUAAAGGUGAAAACAUCCCUAUCAUUAUUGACUAUGUUCAGUGACAUAAAGUACCUAUUCUAUGACUGGGCCAAAUGUCUCUAGGGAUAUGGCACCUACAAGCAAGAUAUUGAAUGAUUACCCUGCCUGUUUAGUUUCUAGGACAUUGUAAAUGUCUAGAUGCUAGCCAUGAAUUGGAUGGUUGUAUGCUAACUAUCACCAUGCAAUCAAACAAAAGAGACACUAUCUUCCUGAAAUUGAUGGUCAAGCACAGCUUGAUGGAUGCUAUGGCAAUAUUAAGUUAAAUUCAAUGUACAUAAAGUACCUAUGAUCCCAUAAGAACAAAGCUAAAGCACUUGUAUUACUACCUUCAUUCUCAUGACUUAGGGUUUGCCUUGAUUUUAGCCUCUUUGAUUUUAAUGUGGAUACAUUAAACUUACAUGUGUUUGUAGGAUGCUACAUGAUAUUUAUGUGUCUGUGGGUAUUUUGUUUGUUUGGAUGGAAAACAGGGUCCCAGGGAUCCUUGGCUGUCCUUGAAAUAGCUAUGUAGAAAAAAAUUGGCCUCAAACUUCUGAUCUUCCUGGCUCCAGUUUCCAAGUAGUAGGAUUACAGGUUUGCAUCACGUUGUCUGUUUUACCCACCAUCUCAGUUCUAAUAUUCAAGCAGAAGGGUCUGCUACCUGCAGUACUCUUGACAUGACUUCCUGUAGGCAGCUCUUCCAAAACUCGAUAGGCCACUAAGCUCCUGUUCUCACGGCUGGCUGCCCUGUCAGCUCAAGUCACCAUGUUAAACUGACAUGGCCAGAGCUUGCAAAUUCCAAAAUCACUCUGUUAAGUACUCUGAUAGUGUUUGUGCCUGACCUACAAAUCAUAUGAUCAUUCACUUAUUUAUAUACAAACGUGCAUCACAAAUAAGUCCAGAUUUAAAAAUACUUCUGAGAUAGGUUUUCAUUGCAAUCAAAAAUAAAUAUGAAAACUAAGAAAGCUAUGCUCA